CCAGAUUAUUUGUUGCUGUGCAAUUGUUUUGUAUAAAAUUGCAAGAGAAAUAGUCUGACA
rnacentral:pre_miRNA from 1 species